rnacentral:rRNA from 1 species
UGGGGAAUAUUGCACAAUGGGCGCAAGCCUGAUGCAGCCAUGCCGCGUGUAUGAAGAAGGCCUUCGGGUUGUAAAGUACUUUCAGCGGGGAGGAAGGGAGUAAAGUUAAUACCUUUGCUCAUUGACGUUACCCGCAGAAGAAGCACCGGCUAACUCCGUGCCAGCAGCCGCGGUAAUACGGAGGGUGCAAGCGUUAAUGGGAAUUACUGGGCGUAAAGCGCACGCAGGCGGUUUGUUAAGUCAGAUGUGAAAUCCCCGGGCUCAACCUGGGAACUGCAUCUGAUACUGGCAAGCUUGAGUCUCGUAGAGGGGGGUAGAAUUCCAGGUGUAGCGGUGAAAUGCGUAGAGAUCUGGAGGAAUACCGGUGGCGAAGGCGGCCCCCUGGACGAAGACUGACGCUCAGGUGCGAAAGCGUGGGGAGCAAACA